ACAGUUCUCACACAAAACCAGUGCACAAAACACACGCGUAAUCAAAUUGACUGAAUGCUCCAUUACCAAGCCUUUAUUAGCGAGAGGAAAUUGAAAUGACUUCAAGUGUCGCCAAGGACAGACUUGUGAAUGGAUUGUGCAGACAGAGGGAAAGCGGGGAUUAUUGUGAUGUGCUGAUAACAGUUCCAAACUCUGUGCAUUUAUCAGCACAUUCCAACAUCUUGGCUGUUUCAAGCAUUUAUUUCUCGGACAUUGCAAGGAAGUCUUCGUCUCUCCUGCCACACAUUCCUUCAACAAGGCUAGGAGGUUAUGUCUCUCUUUCUGUCACAAUUCAUUCCAGCUGGGGAAAUGAAAGUCAAUCUGAAAAGGUCCAGCAAGCUAUGGUCUCAGCCAACCAAGGAGAUGUGAUUGAAGACAAUGUUCAGACAAGUACAGCUCAAGACAUCAUCUAUAUUGAGCCAGCAAAUGAAGGAGUAAAUAUGGACCAGGUUAUUUUCAGUGUGCAGGGAACUCCCAAUUUGAUGACUGUUCUUGGCAAUGAGUUAUCUGACAGCAACAUGUCAGCAGCAAUCCUGGGUUCUGGUGGUGUUGGUGAUGGAAUCACCAUAGUUCAGCCCUCUGCAGGUCUCCCAGGGAGCAGAACUGUUGAUGUGCCAGAGACAGCCUCAGUAACGGAUGUGGUGGCAGUCAGCACUAGUGAUAUGGCGAUUGGUAGCAGUGAGGUGGUUACUGUAUCUGGCUCGUCUCCCUCGGUGGAGACGGCGAGCCCUGAUGGGAGGCCGAGCUCGGCGGCGCGUCAUCCCAGGGCUCCCCGUCAGCCGGGCGCCUACCGAUACCUACUGGAGCUGUCUGUGGCGGAGGGGGCGCCCGCCGAGCCGUCCCUCCUGGCCGACUGUGUCCGCCAGCUUACCGAAGAGAUGCUUACCGAAGAGAUAGGAGUAGGAGGCAUGGGAGCGGGUGGCUCAUGAGGGUUGCCUCCUCUCAUUGUUAGUUAGCAUGUACUUGUCGAAUCUUCUCUUGAAUUGAUUGACAUUCUCACUUUGUAUGACAGUUUCAGGCAGGCAGUUCCACUUGUCGACAACUCUAGAUGGGAAGAACUCGUUACGUUUUUGUGUUCUGUGUCUUGGCUUAAUUAGCUUCAUACUGUGUCCCCUUGUUCCUUGCUGUCCAUGAUCCAGGACCAGAAAUGCACAGUCUGUUUUGAUUC
rnacentral:misc_RNA from 1 species